GAAAUUCACUUCCGGACUCCUCCUGUAUCCUGGCUGGCCCUCGUUUGUGUCUCCCUCCAGGGAUGAUGCCCGGAUGGAAGGAGGAGCCACGUUCCUCCACAGGUGUCCUCCACAACAGGUGUCCUCACAACAGGUGUCGUAACAACAGGUGUCCUCACAACAGGUGUCCUAAUACUCCCGCAGCCCCUCAGCAUCUACAGGCUCACUCCCACCCUACAACCUUUCAGAUAGGUGUUAUCCCCAUUUUACAGGUGAACGAGGAAAACAGCUCGAAGAGGCUGUGACUUUGUGGUGACGCGGUGGCAGAGCUGGGAUCAAGCCCAGGUUUGUAACGCCCUCCUGGAGUCUCGGCCGUCACAGCAGCUUCCGGAGAGCGCUGUGUGCCUCUGGCCUUCCUGGCAUGGGAAAGAGGUCAGCUACCUGUGUUCGGUCAACAAGAUGUCCAGCGCUUAGUUUGGUCUCACCUGGAUGCUCCUUUCUCCUCUAGAGAUGGAAAACUGUUGUCCUGAAAGCGUCACCAAACAAAACCUGUGGAAAGGUAAUGGGGGGACCCACGAGCAAGAGCUGACAGAAAAAUGACCACGGGCC
rnacentral:lncRNA from 1 species